UCUCUGUGAUGAUGAAAACAGAUGACGAGUCUGACGUAAUCCAUUCUAUUAAACCGUGUGGACAAUCGAGGCAUUUGUCUGAGGGAA
rfam:Triticum urartu cultivar G1812 contig322188, whole genome shotgun sequence.